CUUGGGAAAUCCAUCUGGCAAACUUUGCUGCCUAUAAGAUAACAAUGUAGUAUACAACAGGAGGAAGAGUAAGAGAAAAAAUGAAGAAUGGAAGAUAAGUAUUUUUCCAGGAUAUUUUGAUCAAAUCUGAUACAUUUCUGCAAAAGUAUCACUUCAAGUUCCCAGGUUCUAGGAAUAACACUUACUUCACAAGAUAUCUCUGUAGUUAUGGCCUAUGCAGAGAAGCCAAG
rnacentral:lncRNA from 1 species